AAUGAUGAUGUCACUGAUUCUACUGCUGGCCACCCUGGGGCUCCUUGUUCAGGAUUUAUCAGGAGAAAUCAUCCUGACUCAGUCUCCUGGAUCUCAGUCUGUUGUUCCAGGACAGACUGUCUCUCUCAGAUGUAAAGCCAGUUCAAGUGCUGGUACUUGCCUCAACUGGUACCUUCAGAAAGCUGGAGAAUCUCCCAAACUCCUGAUUUAUCAUUCUACAAACCGUCAGUCUGGAGUUUCAGAUCGUUUUACUGGAAUUGGAUCUGGGACUGACUUCACUCUGACCAUCAGAGGAGUCCAGACUGAAGAUACAGGAGAUUAUUAUUGUCAGCACUGUUACAGCUGGCCGUUCACACAGUGAUACAACGUCGUACAAAAACCUCCCUCAGCUGGAGAGGAACUGAUCUGAAUCAACAGCUGCAGAGAAACCAUAACACUAGAUAUUGGAUUAACAUACAUUUUGAUGGUAUACACCAGCAAUGCUUUCAGCAUGAAAAAUACAUAUAUAAAUACACUUUAAGGAGUAUAUUUUAUGCAGUUUGUGCACACUGUAAGUUUGCUCAAAGUCAGAACCAAAACUGUUUUAUUUCAGCUUUUAAUUAUAGACUAAGUAACAUUACCACAUAAUCAAUAACUUAAUUUUGGUAAAAAUGUUUAACUUUAACUUUACUUUGCUUUGAAAAAAAAGUACCUUAAGGCUGUCAAACUCAUACAUGAUAUACCUCUAUAUAACAGAGAGCAUUUCAGAACAGAGCAGGACACUGAGCAUUAUUUCUGUGUAAAAUGUUCACAUAAAAUUAUAAAAUCCUGGUGAUCUGACUCUAAGAGUAAUC